rnacentral:lncRNA from 1 species
CCGGAAUCAAAUUGAAAACAUGGCGAUGAGACCAAGAAAUGGCCGCUCUAGCUAAUGUGUGAGCAACCAUGUUCGUUUAUCGCUUUAUAAGCUUCACCUCAAAGCCGGAAUUUAAAAACAACAUACAUUUAAUCUUAUGAACGAUAGAGCUAAAUUCAGACACACCGGUACUUCUAUGCCGGAUUGCAGUCACUAUGUUUUGAGCAUCUGUUUCAAAUAUAACAUUAUGAAAUCCUCUUUGAUGUAGUUCCAUCAUUGCUUCUAGCAUUGCUAUUGCUUCUCUUUGAUGUAGUUCCAAGAACUACCUCCCAAUACAAAGUGCCCUCUAUGGUCUCUAACACACCAUCCUGCAGUCGUUCUCCUUGCAUCAUUGUAAAAGCCCGCAUCAACGUUGCAUUUGUAUUUUCCUUGAGUUGGAGUCUGUCAAGACAGUAGCUCUUGUUGUUCG